rnacentral:lncRNA from 1 species
AUGGGGCUGCUGUGUCACACUGAUGUCCAUCCCACCAUGGACAGCCACAGCGGGACUGUCCCUGCCGUGCCCCAGAUGAGCAGUAGAUGCCCAUGUGGGUGCUCCCCGUGCACUGCUGCAGAGCCCCCGGCCCCUGCCGUGCAGCCUCUCCAUGCACCCACGCCAUCCUCACAGAGGAGGAAUAAUUUGGGGAAACCAUGGCAACCCAGGGAUGCACCACAAUGUCCCCAGAUCCCCCCAGCAGCGCGACCUUGCACAGCUCAGUGGGUGGUGUGGUGUCCCUGUGAUGCCGAGCCCACAUCCCUGGAGCUCUCUGUGCCCCGUGGCCCCGGCAGCCACCUGCUUUCAUGGCCAGGACCUUCACACACCUCUUUUAUUUUGCAGCGCUGGGAUGGAGCCGCUGCGAUGCCCUCGGCCAGCUCAGCCCACCUGCCCCAUCCCUGCUGCUGCUGGACCAGGGCCAGCCGCCUUCCCCUGAGGGCAUCUGAAGGAAGCUGGCGACAGAAGCGUCACUUUUAAGAUGACACGAACGGACCCACCUGACAUCCUGGUGUCUACGGUGUACCAAGACAUAAAGGUGGCCUCCGCAGCCCCUGGGGAUUCCAUUGUCCGCCAGCCCCCAGCGCGAUGUGACGCCUCCAUGUCCUCCUCUCUGCCCCGCGACCCGCAGCCCUUCAACAAACGCCACUGCCGGAGCUUCGACUUCCUCGAGUCGCUGGACGA